rfam:Ipomoea nil DNA, scaffold: scaffold2283, cultivar: Tokyo-kokei standard.
GGGGGUGUAGCUUAGAUGGUAGAGCGGUCGCUUAGCAUGCGAUUGGUAUGGGAAUCAAUACCCUGCAUCUCCA